AGCUCCAAUAGCGUAUAUUAAAGUUGUUGCAGUUAAAAAGCUCGUAGUUGGAUUUCUGGUAGGAGUGACCGUAUCGGACUUGAUUGUCCGUGUAUUGAGUUGCCUCCAGCCAUCCUCGUGGAGAACACUUUUAGCAUUAUCUUGCUGAAGUUGGGACCCGCGUCGUUUACUGUGAAAAAAUUAGAGUGUUUAAAGCAGGCAAUGGCUUGAAUACAUUAGCAUGGAAUAAUGAGAUAGGACUUUGGUACUAUUUUGUUGGUUUACAUACCAAAGUAAUGAUUAAUAGGAACAGUUGUGGAUAUUCGUAUGAGCAUGUCAGAGGUGAAAUUCUUGGAUUUUGAUCAGACGAACUACUGCGAAAGCAUUUAUCAAGGAUGUUUUCAUUAAUCAAGAACGAAAG
rnacentral:rRNA from 1 species